CAGGCGUGAGCCACCGCGCCCGGCCAAUUUCUAAGGCUCCAUUAGGGCUAAGGUUCAUGUAUCCAUGGUGAAGUAUAGAAGAACUCAGAAUCGUUCCAAACAUAAUGGGCUUGGAGUAAUGGAGAACUCCAAGGGCAGGAGGUAACCAUUAAAGAGGACCAUCAUGUAGUGUGAGGAGUCAACAUUUCACACUAGAAAGCCCUUGGUUCAAGUUUUGUCUCUGCCACCUACAGAUUUUGUAACCCUGAGAGAAAAGGAAAAUCCUACGGAGGAGGGGCUCUGAUGGCUUUGAAGAAGGCAGUGAAUGGCCACAUGUUCCCUGAGGACAGCACAGGCUAAAGGCUCAGCUAGAAGAAAGGCACAGAGAUAGCAAGGGAAACUAGCUACCUCUUUAUGUACUGCCCUAUGGAGAGGCACACAUGUCAAGAAACUGAGGGAGUGCCUUCCAGUCAACAGCCAGCCAGGAACUAAGGUGCUCAGUACAGCAGCCUCCACAAAGGACUGAACAAUGCCAACAGCUAUUUGACUGUGCUUGGAAGAUCUCCGUUUAGUUAACCCUUCAGAUGAGACCGCAGCCCUGGCCAGCAAACAAAUUGCAGCCUAUGGAAAGACCUUAAGGCAGAAGCACCCAACUGAACCACCCGAGGGCUCUGACUUACAGAAACUGUGAGCAUAUAGUGAAAUGGCCUCUACCUUAUUUUGAAUGGAUUUCUGGGAUAAAGUUCUUCAGUGAUAACAUGUUUGAAGUUUCAGGAAAGAGGCACUGGCCUUUACUUCUCCACCUCGAUUCACUUCCAUGCUGUUGACAAAUGUUAUAGUUGCCCAGGAUCAGAGGGAGAGACUGACCCUGUGACCAUUUCCCCAAAGGCGGCCUUUGGCCACUCCGUGCACUGGAGCACAUGACCCUCUGCCUCGCCCCUGCCACAUUAACCAGGUGACUGUCUGCCAAGGCCCAGCCCAGUCCAAAGGGAAUUGGGAUUCAGUGUCCCAAACAAGGCACUGAUUAGCUGGUAAUCAGGCAGCGAUUAGCAGGUCGGGUCACCUGCAGUUCAGUGCCCAUUGUUCCCAGCAAAGUCCUGGGAUAUUUGCCACACGGCUGGCCAGUCUGAAUGUCUGAGGAUUCCGAUGCCUGCAGCUCUGCUGUGGAGAUGUGUGAUUAGGAACAAAUCCUCUGUUCUCUAAGCCCAUCCCCCCAAGGAGGCAGUGCAGUGUGAAUAGUGAAUCCCCUUCUCUAUUCACACACAAAGGUUUGGGGAGAAGAAUGGCCUGCUUAGGAGCUCAACAGUGACAGAGAGGUGAGGCCCCAAGGAUGCACUGAAGAACUGAAAGCAAAUUAGCACAUUCCUCUUCCUGCACCAUGAUGACUGAGAGUGGAGGAACGGGCAAGCCCACAUCCAGACUGGGAUUCUACUGUGAUCUUGAGAUGUGACCUUGGACAAGAUUUUUAACCUCUGAGCUUGUUUACCUUGAUUUUGAGAGUUUAAUAACACUUGCCUCUUCAGCCUUUGAAGUUCAGAUUUAGAAAAUGAACAUAAAGCAGUUACUACAGUCUCUGUAGCGUGUGACCAAUACAUGCUAUCACCGUUAUCAUCGGUCAUAGUAAUAUCAAUAUUUAAAAUAUCAUAAUUAUUUGAAAUACUUUAUUUAAAAUAUGCCUCUGUAACAUCACUUCUAAAUGAGAGAUAGCCCCUUUGUAGGAGGCCAUGAUAAGGAUGAGAUGAGAAUUCUUGUAAAGCUUUCAUCACAGGGCCUAGCAAGUAAUUAGCACUUAAUAAAUCAUAGUAACAAUGGUGAUCACCAUCAUUAUUGUUUGUACAAAGUUGAAUGGAAAAGACUAUUUUGUAGCACUUUUCACUGUAUUGUAGCAUGUGAUCAUGAAAAUUUAGACAAAGCAUAAUUUUUCGAGCUAAAAGGAGAUUAAUGAAAUUAUUCAUGGCACAUUCACACCAUUGGACACUGUUCAGCUUUAUAGUCUAUGUGCCCUUCCACCACCUGGAGAUCUUGCUAAAAUUCUCAUUUGGUAAAUCUGGGGUCAGCCCAAGAUUACGCAUUUCCAGUGGAUUCUCAAGUGAUUCCAGGGCUACCUGUCCAUGGACUCCACUUUGAGUAAACAGGAUGUACACUUUUACAAUAAAAAAUGUGUAUAUGCAUUUAUACAGAAAUAUAGAAAAAUAUUCCUAGGCUAUACUCAAGAUGGGGGACAGUGUUUUUCACCCCCUUCGCUAAACUGUACUAUCUUUCCCAGAAAUUUAAUAACAAACAUGUAAAAACAUUUAAAAAUGCAAUAAAUUUUAUUGAUGCAA